rnacentral:rRNA from 1 species
GAAAGGUGGUCUAAUACUUCAUAAUAUCCAUCUCGUAUGGAUUAAAGCUUUAUGCGCUUUGGAGGGGCCUGCGUAACAUUAGCUUGUUGGUGAGGUAAAAGCUCACCAAGGCUUCGAUGUUUAACUGGUUUGAGAGGAUGACCAGUCACACUGGGACUGAGAUACGGCCCAGACUCCUACGGGAGGCAGCAGUAAGGAAUCUUCCACAAUGGGGCAACCUGAUGGAGCAAUACCGCGUGCAGGAUGAAGCGUUUCGGCGUGUAAACUGCUUUUAUCACCGAAGAUUAUGACUGUAGGUGAAGAAUAAGGACCGGCUAACUACGUG